CCUACGGGAGGCAGCAGUGAGGAAUAUUGGUCAAUGGGCGCUAGCCUGAACCAGCCAUGUAGCGUGAAUGAUGACUGCCCUAUGGGUUGUAAGUUUCUUUUAUAUGGGAAUAAAUUGCAUUAUGUAUACUGCUUUGCAUGUACCUUAUGAAUAAGAAUCGGCUAACUUCGUGCCAUCAGCCGCGGUAAUACGGAGGAGCCGAGCGUUAUCCGGAUUUAUUGGGUUUAAAGGGAGCGUAGGCGGGUUGUUAAGUCAGUUGUGAAAGUGUGCGGCUCAACCGUAGAAUUGCAGUUGAUACUGGCAGCCUUGAGUAUAGUAGAGGUAGGCGGAAUUCGUGGUGUAGCGGUGAAAUGCUUAGAGAUCACGAAGAACACCGAUUGCGAAGGCAGCCUGCUGGACUGUAACUGACGCUGAGGCUCGAAAGUGUGGGUAGCAAACAGGAUUAGAUACCCGUGUAGUC
rnacentral:rRNA from 1 species